GACGAACGCUGGCGGCGUGCUUAACACAUGCAAGUCGAACGGAAAGGCCCUGCUUUUGUGGGGUGCUCGAGUGGCGAACGGGUGAGUAACACGUGAGUAACCUGCCCUUGACUUUGGGAUAACUUCAGGAAACUGGGGCUAAUACCGGAUAGGAGCUCCUGCUGCAUGGUGGGGGUUGGAAAGUUUCGGCGGUUGGGGAUGGACUCGCGGCUUAUCAGCUUGUUGGUGGGGUAGUGGCUUACCAAGGCUUUGACGGGUAGCCGGCCUGAGAGGGUGACCGGCCACAUUGGGACUGAGAUGCGGCCCAGACUCCUCCGGGAGGCAGCAGUGGGGAAUAUUGCACAAUGGGCGGAAGCCUGAUGCAGCAACGCCGCGUGCGGGAUGACGGCCUUCGGGUUGUAAACCGCUUUCGCCUGUGACGAAGCGUGAGUGACGGUAAUGGGUAAAGAAGCACCGGCUAACUACGUG
rnacentral:rRNA from 1 species